UGGCAAGUCACGAUAACGGACACUGCUCCACUCUUUGCAAUAGGCUCCACGUGGCAGGCCACGGUGAUGGCCACGACUCCACUCCACUACUUCGUAACAAACUCCUCCUGGCCCCGAACGGCCCACUACCAGGUGGUUACAAAUGUCGCUGUUGGGUAUAAAAUCCCCCUCCAGCCAAAGUUCAUGUCAGGAGUGACCGCUCAGGGAUUCUA
rnacentral:lncRNA from 1 species